AUCCCACAGUUUUGCCCCAGGAAGGAACAAUGUGACCUGAUCUGGCUUCUCUAACUGUGGAGAUUAAUCCAAUGAUUAAAGCUAUACCUGAUCAUUGAUUUAGUGGAUGACCUGGUACGCAAAUCAUUGAACAUUUUU
rnacentral:snoRNA from 1 species